rnacentral:misc_RNA from 1 species
GCUGGGCAGGGCCUUCUUGUGUUUCAAAUGCCAUAAUGGUAAGACGAGAAAAGUUUAUGCUUACUAAUCCGGUGAGAUGCAGAUUCUGCUGUAUGUAUAAAACACGAUUAGUGUCUUACAUCCUGGAUGCUCUGGCUCUUUUCUCGAUCGUUAACCUGCACUCUCUAGUGCAGCUGGGACAGACUUCCAGUCGAAGCCUGUAUGCAUUGAGAAUUGAGAUUUACCAACCUGUUUCUAACAGAUUAUGGUGGAUAUGUGAUGGUGCCUCGUAAUUUAGUCAUGGUCAGAAGAAAGCUUGUCAAAAAAU